rnacentral:lncRNA from 1 species
AUACUUGGAUAGGAGAUGGGGGUUCCUGAAAGGAGGUGGGGUUAUUGGGCAGAACCCUUGACUUGUUUUGCAGAUUACUCAAAGAGAUGGUACUAGCUGGAGCCAACUACGGAAUUGCAACAGGAUCAAUCUGACCCUUGUGGAUCUUCUCUUUCUUUCUGUUAUCCACUGAGGAGUACUCCUGCUUAGGCCGAAUUCACAUUUCAUGUCAGAAGAACAGUACCUUGUUCAGUAAAUGGUUUGUCGUCAGAAGAUGGGAGUCCAAACAGGAUAUUUUUCACGCGAGGCCUAACUGGAGCCCUGUUCUUCUCAGGCUUGUGAUAUCGACAUGUAAUCCUGAAUGUCUGCUGUCGCCUCUGCUCCUACGUCCCUAAAAGGCUAAGCAGAUGCCCAGCAUCCCACAGCAUCCAAGAGAGACUUUUGUCUGAAGAAAGGAGGGAAAGUCACAGAACAAAGAAGUCACAGCCUGAAUUUGAAUCUGAACCAAUUCUUAAGCUUGAGGGGGUCUUUCUAUCUGAGGCAAGACUAGAACUGAAGAAACUGCAAUUGGAAACUACAAGUAUAGCUUCACUUAUGAGAUAAUUAACCAAAAAACUAUUUCUAGUCAUUUAUUUCAUGUUUGGUGCCAAUAAUUGAUUCUUUUCUAAGUAUGACUCUGGGUAAAUCACUCAUUCUUAUGCCAGGGCUUGAACGAUUUCUAAGGUACCUUCUCUUUAGAAUUAUUGCGAUGG